rnacentral:hammerhead_ribozyme from 1 species
AUCCAGAUGACGAGUCCCAAAUAGGAUGAAAUACGCAUCCAGCUGGAU